CUCUUCUUGUAAUUAUUUUGAAGUAUGACCUGCCCACUGAAUUGUAAAAUUUUUGAAGGGCCGCGGUAUUUUGACCGUGCAAAGGUAGCAUAAUCAUUAGUCUUUUAAUUGGGGACUGGAAUGAAUGGUUGGACGAGGAAGAAACUGUUUCUUAAAAAUUUAUUUGAAUUUAUGUUUUAAGUUAAAAUACUUAAAUUUAUUUAUGGGACGAGAAGACCCUAUAGAGUUUAAUUAAUAAUAAGAUUUUUGAGUUGGUAAUUUAGUUAAUUUUAUUAUUAAUUUUGUUGGGGUGAUAGGAAGAAUUAAUAAACUCUUUUUAGAUUUAUAUAUUUAUAUAUAAAUUUUUGAUCCAUUUUUGUUGAUUAUAAGACUAAAUUACC
rnacentral:rRNA from 1 species